rnacentral:lncRNA from 1 species
GGGCACCUUGGCCUUCUUAGCCUGCUUCCCAAGCUAUUCUCAUCAGUGGCCUGACUGCAAGGGCUCCCCCAGGGAAAACAGAAGCCGCUGCUAGGAUGAUAAGGAUAAAACAUAAUUAACAUGGCCUAAUUAGCCAGCAGGCGGCUGCUCCUGGGGCCCAGCUGCCUGUCCUGCUCUCUCUGCCUUAUCCCAGCCCCUUGGUUGACGGUCGCCUCAGAGAAGCCCUGGAUGAGGCUGAAGACACAUCUAACAAGGAGGACACAGCACAGCACAAAUGCACACCACCACAGGACACAACCCGAUGACAGCAGACAAAGAGAGGCCGUACUCGGUCUUUGCUGGCGCAGGCGAAACAGAGCUGUCUGCAGUGGAAGGAGCAAGCUCAGGGGCUUGUCCACUGGCCCCAGCGGCGGGAGCAGGAGAGCCCAGGGCUGCAAAAACAUCCUUUGCAAGGGUUCCAAAUGGAGAACGUGCAAUGAAAGGAAAGGCACCAGCUGAUGGCGCAGGGUGGUGCAGCUGCUGGGUCCCUGGGCUGGAGCAGAGCCCAAACCUCAGCAAGGUGGACAGGUCUGCACUCACGAGAAGGCGGCCUUGCCCUCCUCCAUGUCCUUGCCCUUGGCCCCGGGCCCGGCUUUUCCACACAGGUUGACCGCAAUGCACAUGAACAGGCCACACUUGUUCAGGAAGUAGCAGGUGAUGUCCACAACCACCAGGAGCAGGACGAAGAUGACGAUGAGGAUGCCCACGAUGGCCCCGGUGCUCAGGCCUGAGGUGGGGCUGCCGUUGGCUUGAGUGGGAGAGAGAUGGCUGGUGGUUAACAGACUGAGAUGCGAGACCUCCAGACCCUGCCAGCAAAAGCCCCUGCGGGUGGGGAGGGCCCAGAGGACAGAGUCAUGGCAUUCAUGCCCAGAGUGACACCUUCCUGGGGACCUUCUAUGCCCCAGAAUUGAGAAAACAGGGUCUUUCUAUACCUUCCAGAGGGAGGGAUGACAACAUCAUCUCACAGAUUGGGGAACAGGGGUGAGCCUGGUCAGCUGGCCUCCCGUGAGUCCUGGGAGCAGACUGAGCCCCGCCUGUCUGAGAACACCGGAUAAUGAGGCAGUUGGAGGGCGCUGCUGUGUUUCCCCUGGACCAGGGCAAAAGGCUUUGCAGCACAGGCAGGCAGUGAUCACUGAUUUCAGGCGGGGCUGUGGCUCCUCAAGUGCUCAGGGAUAGGGGCCCAAAAUGGGGUGGUGGAGGGUUCCUGGGGCUUUCUUGGGGCUUGUUGGGUUGUCCAUCACAAUAGCAUCCCCAUUAUACUUCUCCACUUCCUCUUUCCCUCUUUAGGAAUGACCCCAAAGGAGCCCUGCAUUAGAGCACACUGGGUUCAUAGUUUACCCUCCUCACUGCACCCCAGGAAGACAAGUGAAGCCUGGGUGACUCCAGAGACAUGGAGGCCUCCCCAGGCCAUGGGCAAGGUGAAAGGUCUGGGAAUACUCACCAUCUAGGAGCUCAGGCCUGCUUGGACCAGACUUCAGGAAAACCUGAAGUGAGUGCAGACUCACUCAGAGGUGCACACACACACAGGCACACUCACACGCAGGAUAAAUGCCCAUGCAGACAGGCAUGCACUCUCACAUUCUAGCACCUGGCACCCUGGUUCUGGCUGGACUCACUGUGAAAGACUCAGCCUGUGUCUUACUUCCCUGGUGCCCAUCUGCAAUCCCCCCAGGGUCUUUGGCUAUUGAUGGUUUCACAGAGAGACCUGGACUCAGCUCUCUGGGGCCCCUGGGAGAUCAACCCAUGGUUACGAUUGACACUAGUUGCCUGGGAUGGACCAAUUGACCUCUUGGUGGUUCCCAUCAGUGUCUGGGAGACAGUGGUCAUGAUGCAGGAAGCAAGGACCCAUGUGGAGCUCUGCCAUUAAGUCGAUGUGGGAACAAUCACCCUCGACUGAAAUAUGGGCACUUCUAAUUCAUCUUUCCUCCAGAACAACCUGCUUCCAUAACUGGCAGCCCUGCCCCACCAGUAGACUAUGUCUAAAGCUUCCUGUGCUCUCAGGGCCAACUGAAGCCACCCAGGACUGCAGACUGAAGAUGGGAACUGUAGCCAGCACUACCUGGGGCUCACCCCACCAGCCACCCCACUCCCAACCCAGCUCGCUAGGCUUUGCCAAGCACCAGGCCAGGCUCAGCAGCUUGCGAGCCAUGUAACAUGCCAGAUAGAUAGUGGAGGGAACAUGUAACUGAGUAACCAGCACCAGAGCUGGGCCACACAUUUUUUGUUUUUCAUGCAGCCUGUAUUUGCGGGAGGGUGGUGGUAUUGAUGGCUCUGUGUGCCCCAGGGGUCUCUGUCCAGGCACUCUAGUGCUUCUCUGGUGGCUGUCCCUCUCCACUGGUCCAUAUUUCAAACUUCAGUUUGGGGAAUGGGCCAUCAGCCUAGCAUGCCAGAGAGGAUCCCUCACAAAUGACUCCUGAGACCCCUGGGUGCAGCUCGUACAUGUUUUUAGUCCCUUUGGGACCUUGGCUUGCCUCCCAGCCCUUCCUCCUCAGGCUCUCUGGCUGGUCCCUGCUGACCUCGCACUGAAGAUCCUAGCGCAUUCCCCCAGGAAGGCUUGAGAUGGCGAAGAACUCUGCUUGGAGAACCCAGCUCUGGACACCUGUCUCUGGGCUUUGGCAGCAGGAAGCUGGCCACUGGCCUUAGCCGUCAGCUAGAAUGGGUCAUUUUCUUAGCAGCCAUGAAUGCAGAGGUAUUUCUGGUUAGUCUCAUAAGAACAAAACCAUCCACUUCCCCAGAGUCCUCACACAUUCCACCCAAAAAGCAAAGGAGACACAGGCCUUCUUGGUCUUCAGGAUCCCAUAGCUGUUUCCCUGAACAGGGAAGAAACUUUAGCCUUGGGUUUUCUCUCCAUUCCAUGACACAGGGCUCCAGGCCACUGCAGCUUCCGGACAUCAGUACCCGAUAGGUGUAAAGUGCCUACUCCCUGAAGAAAGAUCUGAAAGUAUUUUUUUGAUGACAGUGGGGAAUAUGUCUGGAUUUUUGGACUCAAUGGCACUAAUUAUAUCUUCUGAGGUUUAUGUGUAAAUAUGAUUUUGUGAAACUAAUCAUAUCUCUAAAGAGGAAAAAUAAACUCCUGCAAAGCUGCUCUAUGUGCUUGAGAGGACAGCAGCUGGGACAACUGCUCUGUGCUCAUCAGACCCAGCUGGAGGGCGGCACUGGCACUGCGCACAUCCAGGGGAGGGCCAGGCAGGGAAAAGGCUUCUGAACUGUGGCAUAAACAAGUAGGGCAGCGGCCUCCCCUUUCAUUUGAAUAUAAAAUUCAAAGUCUUUCUCCCGGCCUAAAAGGCCCACCAUCUGCUGCAGACUCUGCCCACUCCUCUGUUGGGCCUCAUGGCGUGAACCGGCAGCCUCCCUUCUGCCUGCUGAACACAUCCAGCUCAACCCGCUUUAGGGCCUUGAUGAUUCUGUGCCUGGAACACUCCCUCCAGGGUGGCUCUCUGUUGUCCUGCAGGCCUCAGUCCCAGUGUCACCUUCUCAGAGAAGCCUUAUCUGAUCUCUUAUCUAGUGUGGCACCUCCAGCCAAUACCUACCAUGCUGCUAGCCUGUUUUAUUCUCUUCUAACUACUAUCUGCCACUUUCUGUUCAUUUACAUGCUUAUGAUCUAGCCAUCCCCCCUAGGACAUCCCAGCAGGUACCCUGCCUGUCUCUCUUGUAUCUCCCCAGCAUCUAGGACAAUCCUGAUUCACAGAAAAUGUUCAAAGAAUACUUGUUGCACAAAUGGAUGAGUGUUUAGUCUGGAGACGAGAAUACUAUUUCCAAAUAUUUAAAGGUGUUAUAACCAGAAGGAAGAAGUAGUCUUACUGUAUAUGGCACCAAUGUGUGGAAAUUAUGGUGGUGGCAGAUUUUAGCUCCAUCUGAGAAAGGACUAAUAAACAGGGCGAAUCCAACAUAGUGUGGGCUGCUCUGAGAGGUGAGUUCCUUGAUGCUGAAGGCACUCGAGCAGAGGCCAGAAGACCCCUUGGCAGGGACGCUGUAAGGCUGUGGAUGAGGCUCCCACACUGGGCAGGAGCAUGGGUGGAGAGUGUCUCUUCAACCACAAGAGCCUGUCAUUCCAAGUCAUACAUUCUACACUGCCUGGCACACGGUACAGGUUCCCUAAUGCCAGUCUCCAGAGUGUGGACUGAGAAAGACUUUUUCCUGGAAGACCAAAAUGCUCGGUAGGUCCCAUAUUUAAUCACUGAUCCUUGUGAUUUUAUUUUUGCAUGACAAAUACCUUUAAACUCAAUAUAUCUCCACCUGUAGCAAAUUCCUAGGGUGUUUGUUAACAAUUCAGAAUCUGGGGCUCCCCACUUUUAUGGGAUCUGAAUCACUGGGUAUGAGGCUCAGGAAACAGGAGUUGAACAAGCAGCCCAGGUGAUUCUUAUGAGGACCACGCUCCUAGGUCUUCCCUCCCCUGCAUUACAAAGAGGAGCACGUGAUCCCAUGAUUUGCCACCCCAGGGUGCACUGUGCUGUCUCACCCAGUGACCCUGAAAACAAACUUGACCUAAGGUAUUGAGUGGAUCAAGAGAAAACAAAGAGUAUGCCCCAAAGGAAAAGCGACCAUACUGUAUGCCAACACUGAGUCUAAACUCCUCAAGCAGGUGAGAUGCUCUUUAAGCUAGGAAGAGAAUGUUUGUGGCUUUUACAAAAAAGAGGCUGUGAAGAAGGGACAGGCUGUGAAAUGGGCAGCAGGGUAUUGAAGGCGAAAGCCAACACCCAUUCCCUCUCAGUGGCUAUCACAGAAUUGUUUAGUCCAAGAUAACUAGAAGAACAAAGGCCAUCUCCUGCCUCUUGUGUAAUAUUUCAUAAAAGGAAAAAUAUAAACCUCCAUGGGUCUGUCUUUGCUAUGGUCUUCCCUCAGCCCUCCCUUGACUAACUCACCUGUGCACCUUGGAUGCAAAGAAGGCUUCUGGGGAAGAGUUUCCCCAUAACCUCGAGGUCAGAGCUGCCCAGGACAGGGAGAUUAUGAAGGUGGAGCUGUCCAUCUUCUGUGAUUCCUGGCUUGGGAGGGGUUGGCACUAAAGAGGGAACUGGCUUGCUCCAAGAAUGAGACCCACAGAUGCCUAUUUUUGUAUGCCUUAAUAUAGGAACAUGGGUCUCACAUUUUAUAAAUAUCCAGAUGGGCCUGAGUCCUUGUGCCAUGAGACCCUGGUGCAGCAGAAAUGCCCUUUUCACCCCCAAGACUCCCAGAAGAUGGUCAGACUCUUGGAACUGUUGAGCUGGGGUUCUGGUUCACUCAUAAGCCCUUUACAUGUCUGCUUGCUCCUUCGAAUCAGCUAAACAGAUGGCUGGUCUCAGGGGCUUGCAGGAUGCGUCUGAGUUAAGUGUGAUUAUGAAUAGAAUACAGUUUGCAAAGAGAAUCUUCUCUCAGAUUCCCUCUCCACAAGCUCACUCUGUGCAGCCUCUGUUAGGGAUAGUAUAAAGGCUGCUGUGUCAUCAGGUGACCUUGCCACAGAGUUGUGCAUCUGUUGGCUCAGAGUGUGGCCCCAUCCCCAUAGUGACCACCUCCCCAGUUCUGCAAAGGCAUUUUCCCCUCCCACUGCCUGCUGGGGACUCCAAGGCAGCAAUGCCUCUUAACAGCUCUUAGGAUGCCUGGGAAAAAGAGAUUGCUCCCCGUUAGGAAGAAAAAGUAUUUCAUUCACCAGGCUACUAUUUCUCUAGGUAAUAGUCUAUCCAGGUACAUGAGAGGCGGAGGGAAAGGGUCUUUGCUGCUUUGUCAGACACAACUAUUGAAUAAAAUCAAGCCACGCUGGUGAGUUCACAUGAACUGUUAUUUCCUUUAAUAAUGCAAAGGUGUAAACUUCAUAAAGCCCUCACUGAUUAUCUACACAACAAUGUUAGCAUUCUUAUUAGUAGAAAAACAUGAUCCAAACCUGCUGUAUAAAUAGUCCAAAAAUGAGCAAAGGGGCCCCAUGGUGUGUGGAGCAUGGGCAGCACAACUACAGGGCACAGGGGAGUGGGGUGUGGCUGAGCAAGGUGGGGUGCACUCACUCCUGCAGGGUCUCUGAGGGCUGCUGUCUCCAGGACUCCUGGCGGGGCUGGGGCUGCAGCUGUCACCAGGAACUCAGUGUCCGUGGGGAGUGGGUAUGCGCUAGUGCUGCCUCCUGAGGAGCGCACUGUUACAAGCCGUGGGUCUGUCUAAAUGGGACCCUUGAGGACCCUGACAUUGUUUCAGCUGAGGCCUGCCUGACCCUGGGAUGUGUUGAGAUGACAGGGCCACGUCAGUCCUCUCCACACUUAGGACGAGAUCUCCAAAGGGUCCCUUCAGAAAGAUGGACACUGCCCCUCUCCUGUGGGUGGUCCUGGGAUCAGGGGGAGGCAGACUCCCAAGCUGGGCCCUCCUAGGAUGAAGCCGUGUGACUUCUGCCCAAGGUGAUCCUAAGAGCCAGUAGCUCUCCCACACUGACCUGGGAUCCUUAUGCUCUGCCCUGUGCCCAAAAACCAUGCCUGCCUCCACUGCCCUGGUGUGAAGCGCCAUCUGGGACUCCAGCGGGGAGAGUUUUGUGGCUGGGUUGAGAGGCACUACCCUGCCUGAGCUACUGUGCAGCAUGGAGCCUCUGAUGUCUGCACGUGAGCCUCUAAACUGAGCGCUGGGGAUUAAUGGCGAGCGCCAACAUAGGUGGCUUUGCCCCUCAGACCACAGCAUGGGAUCAUUUGGAAUCCCAAAGGGAAAGGCUAGUCUUUGAACAUUAAAAAAUAAUAACAACAGAAAAAAAUACAUAAAGAAACCAAAAAGAACAAAAAUCAAGCUUCCAUGGAGAUGCUCAGAGAUGAGAUAUGUAGAAUGAUAUGUGACCACAAUGGGGGGAGGGAGGGAGUUUUUAUUCAGUAGAAGGUCCAUCCCCAAGCACACACACUGAUAUUACCAAGCAGGAUUCAGCCCUGAGUCUCCACAAGGGACCUUAACAAAACACACCCAUUUCCUCUCCUGGGUGAACUCCCAAGCAGCAGGGAGGAGCAGCUGGAUUUUCAGGAGAGUUUAGAAAAUGUCACUGAACCAACGCACCAAUACAGAGGCUGGGGCAUUCAGGAAGCACUGACAGGUUGGCUCGGCCCCAAUUUAUUAACCCUCCUGGGCUGGGCAGUCUGGGAGUGGCCUGUCCCUCUCCUUCUCUACUGAGCACACACAGGCCAGGUAGGGGACUAAUGCCUGGUUCACAGUGGAUGCUUCCAACCUGUCCUGUAGACUGAUGCUCAAAGCCAUUCUGUGGGUCACUGCUGAACCACGGCCCCACUCUGUGCUGAUCUGCGACAUGCUGCCAGGCAGCAGGGGAGUCACCCCGAUUGGGAGACAAACACCUUUCAAAGCUGACACUUGUUGGCACAUCAUGGCUUGGCCCCGUUCACAGAGACAGUGUAAGGUGCUGGCCGUAAUACGAGGACUGAAAGCACAUCCCAGAACGUUCAUCAGCCCCAGAAAAUAUCCAACAAAUUCAACUUUUUUUCCAGUGCAUGGGCAACAGGGGUGACUUCAGUUGCCCAUCAUGUCAGCAAAACGCUCAUGUGAAUCAGUGCGGUCUGGCUCUUUUAACAUGGGCACUUAAAUGCUUAAUUGCAAGCAAAGCCAAUUAUUAUUGAAGGGAGGACAAGGAGCACAGAGUUAGAAUGAGGGGAAUGUGUGGUGAUUUUAACAAUCUGACACAAGCUUUAGAAGGUACUUAGAAUUCUUCCUCUGCUACAUCAUAUUUAGGUUUGAACCCAAAAUGCAACAAGUAGCAGAUAUGCAGAAACUUCUCUGUAAAUCUAGCAUGAUGGUUUUUAAAAAUAGCAUUUAAAGAAAGAGCUCUCAAAUUCUUUUUACUGCCAUUAAAAAGGGGGCAAACUCCUUAUGAAGUGGCACAAAAGUAUCUGUGAGUGGUGACAUGUCUGGAGGUAAAGCUUUUUCCAAUCACAAAACCUUCUCUUCCACACAGAAUGGUUGCUCAGCAGCUGUGGCCAUGGUGGUCCUGCCAGGUUCUUCCAAAGGGGGCACUGAUCUUUUUCAUAGGAACUGGGCUUUUAAGCAAAUUUAAUUUUUGUGUUCAAGUUCCUAACAGAGCAAAAGAAGAGUCACUGCAGAGAAAAGCAAUGAGACAAAGGUGUAGGAUGCAGAAUUGCCUCCCAAGGUUGCUGCAGGUGUCAAGCAAUGGGUCCCCAGAGAUAAUGUGGUUGUUUAAAAACAAAUGUGGCAGUGGGGAUGUCCCAGUGACGUCCAAGGUGACAAGUGUGACGACAGACACAGG